rnacentral:rRNA from 1 species
GACGAACGCUGGCGGCGUGCUUAACACAUGCAAGUCGAGCGGUAAGGCCCUCGGGUACGACGAGCGGCGAACGGGUGAGUAACACGUGGGUGACCUGCCUCUAGCUCUGGGAUAAGCCUGGGAAACGUAGGGUCGUAAUACCGGAUAUGACUCCACGGCGCAUGUUGUGGGGUGGAAAGCCUUGUGUGGCUAGAGAUGGGCCCGCGGCCUAUCAGCUUGUUGGUGGGGGAUGGCCUACCAAGGCGACGACGGGUAGCCGGCCUGAGAGGGCGACCGGCCACACUGGGACUGAGACACGGCCCAGACUCCUACGGGAGGCAGCAGUGGGGAAUCUUGCGCAAUGGGCGAAAGCCUGACGCAGCGACGCCGCGUGAGGGAUGACGGCCU